rnacentral:rRNA from 1 species
CCCAGGGAAACUUGGGCUAAUACCGGAUAAGCCCUUACGGGGAAAGAUUUAUCGCCGAAAGAUCGGCCCGCGUCUGAUUAGCUAGUUGGUGAGGUAAUGGCUCACCAAGGCGACGAUCAGUAGCUGGUCUGAGAGGAUGAUCAGCCACAUUGGGACUGAGACACGGCCCAAACUCCUACGGGAGGCAGCAGUGGGGAAUAUUGGACAAUGGGGGCAACCCUGAUCCAGCCAUGCCGCGUGAGUGAUGAAGGCCCCUAGGGUUGUAAAGCUCUUUUGUGCGGGAAGAUAAUGACGGUACCGCAAGAAUAAGCCCCGGCUAACUUCGUGCCAGCAGCCGCCGGUAAUACGAAGGGGGGCUAGCGUUGCUCGGAAAU